rnacentral:rRNA from 1 species
CGUUACGGCAAUGGACGGAAGUCUGACCGAGCAACGCCGCGUGAGUGAAGAAGGUUUUCGGAUCGUAAAGCUCUGUUGUAAGAGAAGAACGAGUGUGAGAGUGGAAAGUUCACACUGUGACGGUAUCUUACCAGAAAGGGACGGCUAACUACGUGCCAGCAGCCGCGGUAAUACGUAGGUCCCGAGCGUUGUCCGGAUUUAUUGGGCGUAAAGCGAGCGCAGGCGGUUAGAUAAGUCUGAAGUUAAAGGCUGUGGCUUAACCAUAGUACGCUUUGGAAACUGUUUAACUUGAGUGCAGAAGGGGAGAGUGGAAUUCCAUGUGUAGCGGUGAAAUGCGUAGAUAUAUGGAGGAACACCGGUGGCGAAAGCGGCUCUCUGGUCUGUAACUGACGCUGAGGCUCGAAAGCGUGGGGAGCAAACAGGAUUAGAUACCCUGGUAGUCCACGCCGUAAACGAUGAGUGCUAGGUGUUGGGUCCUUUCCGGGACUCAGUGCCGCAGCUAACGCAUUAAGCACUCCGCCUGGGGAGUACGACCGCAAGGUUGAAACUCAA